rnacentral:tRNA from 1 species
AGGAUUGUAGUCAAUUAUGAUGUGUGAUUUGCACUCACAAGGUGUUUUACUUAAACCUAUCUUA